rnacentral:rRNA from 1 species
UCUACGGGGGGCAGCAGUAAGGAAUAUUGGUCAAUGGACGAAAGUCUGAACCAGCCAUGCCGCGUGGAGGAUGAAGGUCCUCUGGAUUGUAAACUUCUUUUAUAUGGGACGAAAAAAGGCUUUUCUAGGUCGUCUGACGGUACCAUAUGAAUAAGCACCGGCUAACUCCGUGCCAGCAGCCGCGGUAAUACGGAGGGUGCAGGCGUUAUCCGGAUUCACUGGGGCGUAAGGGUGUUGGGGUGGGUGUGUAGAAAUCCCCGAGCUUAACUUGGGAACUGCCAUUGAUACUAUCAGUCUUGAAUACCGUGGAGGUCAGCGGAAUAUGUCAUGUAGCGGUGAAAUGCUUAGAUAUGACAUAGAACACCAAUUGCGAAGGCAGCUGGCUACCCGAAUAUUGACACUGAGGCACGAAAGCGUGGGGAUCAAACAGGAUUAGAUACCCCGGUAGUC